rnacentral:rRNA from 1 species
UACGUAGGGUGCGAGCGUUGUCCGGAAUUAUUGGGCGUAAAGAGCUCGUAGGCGGUUUGUCACGUCUGCUGUGAAAUCCCGAGGCUCAACCUCGGGCCUGCAGUGGGUACGGGCAGACUGGAGUGCGGUAGGGGAGAAUGGAAUUCCUGGUGUAGCGGUGAAAUGCGCAGAUAUCAGGAGGAACACCAACGGCGAAGGCAGCUCGCUGGGAGUGUGCUGACGCUGAGACACGAAAGCCAGGGGAGCGAACGGG